rnacentral:rRNA from 1 species
CAGUCGCCGCGGUAAUACGAAGGGUGCAAGCGUUAAUCGGAAUUACUGGGCGUAAAGCGUGCGUAGGCGGUUUGUUAAGUCUGCUGUGAAAUCCCCGGGCUCAACCUGGGAAUGGCAGUGGAUACUGGCAAGCUAGAGUGUGUCAGAGGAUGGUGGAAUUCCCGGUGUAGCGGUGAAAUGCGUAGAGAUCGGGAGGAACAUCAGUGGCGAAGGCGGCCAUCUGGGACAACACUGACGCUGAGGCACGAAAGCGUGGGGAGCAAACAGGAUUAGAUACCCGCGUAGUCCCUGUCUCUUAUAC